GAUGAACGCUGGCGGCGUGCCUAAUACAUGCAAGUCGAGCGACCGGACGAGAAGCUUGCUUUUCUGAUGUUAGCGGCGGACGGGUGAGUAACACGUGGAUAACCUACCUAUAAGACUUGGAUAACUUCGGGAAACCGGAGCUAAUACCGGAUAAUAUUUUGAACCGCAUGGUUCAAAAGUGAAAGACGGUCUUGCUGUCACUUAUAGAUGGUUCCGCGCUGCAUUAGCUAGUUGGUAAGGUAACGGCCUACCAAGGCAACGAUGCAUAGCCGACCUGAGAGGGUGAUCCGCCACACUGGAACUGAGACACGGUCCAGACUCCUACGGGAGGCAGCAGUGGGGAAUAUUCCGCAAUGGGCGGAAGCCUGAACGAGCCAUGCCGCGUGAGUGAAGAAGGUCUUCGGGUUGUAAAACUCUGUUAUUAGGGAAGAACAUAUGUGUAAGUAACUGUGCACAUCUUGACGGUACCUAAUCAGAAAGCCACGGCUAACUACGUG
rnacentral:rRNA from 1 species